CGCAUCUGUGCAUGCAGCAUAUCAAUAAGCGGAGGAAAAGAAACUAACAAGGAUUCCCCUAGUAACGGCGAGUGAAGCGGGAAGAGCUCAAAUUUGAAAUCUUAAAGGGUUUCCCUUUACGAAUUGUAGUUUAAAGAAGUGUUUUCUGUUGAGGUUUUGGUAAAAGUUCUUUGGAAUAGGACAUCAUAGAGGGUGAGAAUCCCGUAUUUGACCUUUACCUUCAACUUUGUGAUACACUUUCAAAGAGUCGGAUUGUUUGGGAAUGCAGUCCAAAAUGGGUGGUAAAUUUCAUCUAAAGCUAAAUAUUGGCGAGAGACCGAUAGCGAACAAGUACCGUGAGGGAAAGAUGAAAAGAACUUUGAAAAGAGAGUUAAACAGUACGUGAAAUUGUCAAAAGGGAAGCGUUUGACACCAGUGUUGUUUUUCUGAAAAUCAACUAAAGAACUGUUUAUGCUAAGUUGUUUAGACUUUAUCAGCUAUCUGUUUAGUUUUGAGCUUUUCUUUAAUGCACUUUUCAGUUAACAAGUCAACAUCAAUUUCUUUUGCUGUAAAAAAAGCUUGAGGAAGGUGGCCUGAGAUUCGUCUUAAGUGUUUAUAGCCUCUUGCCUAUGCAGUCGGAGAGAUUGAGGUCUGCAGCGUAGAUCCUUCGAGGCUAAAUGCAUUUGUGCUAAGUUAUAGCAUUUUAUAGACAACUAGUUGACUAUGAUUUGUCUUGUAGCUUACUCGCUUAUGUUAUUUUACCUACGCUUAGGAUGUUGAGUCGUAGAGCACGCA
rnacentral:rRNA from 1 species